UACAGAGGGGGCAAGCGUUGUUCGGAAUUACUGGGCGUAAAGGGCGCGUAGGCGGCCUUCUAAGUCGAACGUGAAAUCCCCGGGCUCAACCCGGGAACUGCGUCCGAUACUGGAAGGCUUGAAUCCGGGAGAGGGAUGCGGAAUUCCAGGUGUAGCGGUGAAAUGCGUAGAUAUCCGGAGGAACACCGGUGGCGAAGGCGGCUUCCUGGACCGAUUACUGACGCUGAGGCGCGAAAGCUAGGGGAGCAAACGGG
rnacentral:rRNA from 1 species